rnacentral:tRNA from 1 species
GCUGCGGUGUCCGAGUGGUUAAGGAGAUGGACUUGAAAUCCAUUGGGCUUUGCCCGCGCAGGUUCGAAUCCUGUCCGCAGCG